AAUGGCAGCCCGCGGGUUCUUGGAGUGGUCGCGGAGAGGCGCGUCUGCGUGACAGGAGCUCAGCCCCGGCGGCAGAAGGAGCCGCAGCAGGGGCGCGUUUGAGGCGGCGGGAACCCGGGGAAGCCGGGCCGGGCGCCCAGGGAUCCCCGGCGGUGGGACUCGACCCACAGCGUGCGGUGCGGGGACCGGGAAUGCCCCGCGGGCCCGCCCCAUGUCGCCGACCGGCUCCGAGCCCCCCAGGAUGAACAGGAAAAAAGGAGACAAGGGCUUCGAGAGCCCGAGGCCCUAUAAAUUAACUCAUCAGGUUGUCUGCAUCAAUAACAUAAAUUUCCAGAGAAAAUCAGUUGUGGGCUUUGUGGAACUGACUGUAUUUCCUACAGUUACAAACUUGAAUAGAAUCAAGUUGAACAGCAAACAGUGUAGGAUAUACCGAGUAAGGGUCAACGACUUAGAGGCGGCUUUUAUUUAUAAUGACCCGACCUUAGAAGUCUGUCACAGUGAAUCAAAACAGAGAAAUCUCAAUUAUUUUUCCAACGCAUAUGCAGCUGCGGUCAGUGCGGUGGAUCCCGACGCAGGGAAUGGAGAGCUUUGCAUUAAGGUUCCGUCCGAGCUGUGGAAACACGUGGAUGAGUUGAAGGUCCUGAAGAUACACAUUAACUUCUCCCUGGAUCAGCCAAAAGGAGGCCUGCACUUUGUGGUUCCCAGUGUAGAGGGGAGCAUGGCCGAGAGGGGUGCGCACGUCUUCUCCUGUGGCUACCAGAAUUCCACAAGGUUUUGGUUUCCUUGUGUGGACUCAUACUCGGAGCUGUGCACGUGGAAGUUAGAGUUCACGGUAGAUGCCGCCAUGGUGGCUGUCUCCAGCGGAGACCUGGUGGAGACGGUGUACACCCAUGACAUGAGGAAGAAGACCUUCCACUACAUGCUCUCCAUCCCCACCGCAGCGUCCAACAUCUCUCUGGCCAUUGGCCCUUUCGAGAUUCUCGUGGACCCUUACAUGCACGAGGUUACUCAUUUCUGUUUGCCCCAACUUCUUCCACUGCUUAAACACACCACAUCCUACCUCCACGAAGUCUUUGAGUUUUACGAGGAGAUCCUCACAUGUCGGUACCCGUACUCCUGUUUCAAGACCGUGUUCAUUGACGAGGCUUAUGUUGAAGUGGCUGCGUAUGCAUCCAUGAGCAUUUUCAGGUCUGAUGAAUGGGUGCUGAAGGGAAUUUCAGGCUAUAUUUAUGGACUUUGGAUGAAAAAAACUUUUGGUGUGAAUGAGUACCGCCACUGGAUCAAAGAGGAGUUGGAUAAAAUAGUGGCAUACGAACUGAAAACGGGUGGAGUUUUGCUGCAUCCCAUAUUUGGUGGAGGAAAAGAGAAGGAUAAUCCAGCGUCCCAUCUGCACUUCUCCAUAAAGCAUCCACAUACGCUGUCCUGGGAAUACUACACUAUGUUCCAGUGUAAAGCUCACCUUGUGAUGCGGUUGAUUGAGAACAGGAUCAGCAUGGAAUUCAUGCUCCAAGUUUUCAAUAAGCUGCUCAGUCUGGCCAGCACUGCUUCAUCCCAGAAGUUCCAGUCACAUAUGUGGAGUCAGAUGUUGGUUUCCACAUCUGGAUUUUUGAAAUCUAUUUCAAAUGUCUCUGGCAAGGACAUCCAGCCCUUAAUAAAACAGUGGGUAGACCAGAGCGGAGUGGUGAAAUUCUAUGGAAGUUUCGCAUUUAAUAGAAAACGAAAUGUCUUAGAAUUAGAAAUCAAGCAGGAUUACACAUCUCCUGGAACUCAGAAAUACGUGGGACCACUUAAAGUGACGGUGCAGGAGUUGGAUGGAUCCUUCAACCACACACUGCAGAUUGAAGAGAACAGCCUGAAGCACGAUAUUCCCUGCCACUCCAAGAGCAGAAGGAAUAAAAAGAAGAAAAUCCCACUGCUGAAUGGGGAAGAAGCUGAUAUGGAUCUCUCUGCGAUGGACGCGGACUCGCCCCUGCUGUGGAUCCGCAUCGACCCCGACAUGGCGGUGCUGCGGAAGGUGGAGUUCGAGCAGGCCGACUUCAUGUGGCAGUACCAGCUGCGCUACGAGCGCGAUGUGGUGGCGCAGCAGGAGUCCAUCCUGGCGCUGGAGAAGUUCCCCACGCCCGCGUCGCGCCUGGCGCUCACCGACAUCCUGGAGCAGGAGCAGUGCUUCUACCGCGUGCGGAUGGCCGCCUGCUUCUGCCUGGCCAAGAUUGCAAAUUCCAUGGUGAGCACGUGGACGGGACCCCCGGCCAUGAAGUCGCUCUUCACCAGGAUGUUCUGCUGUAAGACCUGCCCGAACAUCGUGAGAACAAACAACUUUUUGAGUUUUCAGAGUUAUUUUCUACAGAAGACGAUGCCCGUUGCAAUGGCUUUAUUAAGAGACGUUCAUAACCUUUGUCCCAAAGAAGUCCUAACAUUUGUUUUAGACUUGAUCAAGUACAAUGACAACAGGAAAAACAAGUUUUCAGAUAACUAUUACCGUGCAGAAAUGAUCGAUGCCCUGGCCAACUCCGUUACCCCGGCUGUCAGUGUGAAUAAUGAAGUCAGAACUCUGGAUAACUUAAAUCCCGAUGUGCGACUCAUUUUGGAAGAAAUCACAAGGUUUCUGAACAUGGAGAAACUUCUCCCAAGCUACAGACAUACCAUCACCGUCAGUUGCCUGAGAGCCAUCCGGGUCCUGCAGAAGAAUGGGCAUGUGCCGAGUGACCCUGCCCUCUUUAAGUCGUAUGCGGAAUAUGGCCACUUCGUGGACAUCAGGAUAGCAGCUUUGGAAGCGGUGGUUGAUUAUACCAAAGUGGACAGAAGUUAUGAAGAACUGCAGUGGCUACUUAAUAUGAUUCAGAAUGACCCUGUACCCUAUGUGAGGCAUAAGAUUCUAAACAUGUUGACCAAGAACCCACCGUUUACAAAAAACACGGAGUCUCCCUUAUGCAAUGAAGCCCUCGUAGAUCAGCUUUGGAAACUCAUGAAUUCUGGUACCUCACAUGACUGGCGGUUGCGGUGUGGUGCCGUGGACUUGUAUUUCACACUCUUCGGCCUCAGCAGACCUUCCUGUCUACCCUUGCCAGAGCUCGGCCUAGUUCUUAACCUAAAGGAAAAGAAAGCUGUCUUGAACCCUACCAUAAUUCCAGAGGCUGUCUCAGGCAGCCAAGAAGCCUCGAGUAAUCCAGGCAGUCACAUACACCUGGCUGGAUUUCAGAACCCUUUCUCCAGCUCUCAAGACGAGGAGGAGGUAGACAUGGACACCGUUCACGACAGCCAGGCCUUCAUCUCCCACCACCUGAGCAUGCUGGAGAGGCCGUCCACGCCGGGGCUCCCGAAGUUCCGCCCGGCCAGCGCCCGGUCCGCCCUGCUGCCCCCACGUGCACCAGGCUUCGAGGGCACCCCCACCCCGACCCUGAAGCCCCCAUGGGCCCUGGACCUCGCACGCAAGGGAGCAGGUAAGGAGCAGGUGCCUCUGGAGAUGAGUGCGCACCCCGCGACGGCGGCCCCACUGUCCGCGCUCUCCAAGGAGUCCCCCUCCAAACACAGCGAGCACCACCACCACCACCACCACGAGCACAGGAGGAAGAAGAAGAAGCACAAGCACAAGCACAAGCACAAGCACAAGCACGACAGCAGGGAGAAGGGCAAGGAGCCGUUCGCCUUCUCCAGCCCCGCCAGCGGCAGGCAUCAAGUGAGAAGCCGCCACCAGAGUGCUUCCCACCCCACCAGGGACACCUGGUUGCCUGUCCCGGCUAGUCUGUGUCACACACCUGCUAGAUAUCAUGGACAGAAGAGAGGAAGAGGAAACGGCUCAGCAAAUUAGAUGACUCAAAAAGGGACUUGGUUUUUAUGAACUUCAAUAUGAGAACAGAAGGUGCCUUUAUCAUUUGAAGAGUAUAUAAUAUUGCAGAGUGAUCACGGUUCUGGACAACAGCUCUGGGGUUCUAGGACUGUGUCCCAGCCCCAUGACUUAAACAACCACCCAGCCUCGCCAGUGCUGAUACCUCUGAGAAAGUGGAAAUUGGGGACAGUUCACACAUCAGGUUUUGAUUCUCAGGCAGUUAUUUUUCCAUUCUGAGAGGAGCCAACUAUUAUCCUAAAAGGUGGUUGCCUGGUGAUUCAGAAGACUGAAUGCUAGAGCUGGCUGUUUCUUCAUUUCUUAUUCCACUGACUCCUACGAGGACACCAGCUGAGGCAUACCUUGUCAUAUCUAUGAAAGAAAAAUUUAUGUGCAUCUAAAGUAGAGACUAGAAGGGAACUCAGGAGGAACAGAAUCUUUGAAAAGCCCCUAUCUUGGUGUCCUAAUGAUUCUUAUUAAUGCUUAGGUUUUUGAGGCCACGGAGCCACCACUGAAUCCUGUCUCUGUUGUGUAGAAACUGUGUGAUUUGGGAUGAGUUGUUUAACCUCUUCAUCAAAAACAGAACCGCUCCCCACACCACUGCCACCAAAAGCAAACCUUUAUUGGCACUUGAUGAGGACCUGACUGGGUUGAGAACGCGCCCAAGCUUCGGGACCCCUGUGCCGACGCUGUUGCAGUGCCCCAUCCCUCCCAGUCUUGAGUGGGUAAGAAUGUGCCCCUACCUCCAGCUCAAGUGGCUGAAUACAGAGCAGUUACAGCCAUGGAGGCCUAAGUAGAAACCUGCAGGGGUUCGGCCUGGGCCUCCCAGGGCACCCUUUUGGCUCCUCAUGUGAGUGACAUCCCGAGGUGCAGCACCUGUCUUGUGCUCCUGAGGCGGAGGCGGCAGCAAUCACGGGUCCGUCAUGCCUGACAUGUCUGAAGUGCCGCGCCGACGUCCCCAGUCAGCUUCUCGGGCCUCUGGAGUAGGGACAAAGCGCCAGCCCUCCUCUACUGAGCCAUGUGUCAGGCGUUCCUUGGCUUGCAGCAGAAGCUGGUCUUCCUUCCUGCUGCAGAAUGUACCAUGAUUCUCUCCAGUCUCCAGAUGGACAGACUGAAGCUCAGGAUGUUAAACAUUUGGAUUUGCUCAGCCAGUCAGUGAUAAAAUGGAUCUCAGAUCUCCAAGGCUGGCUUCAGAACCUGCGCUCUCAGUCACUUACCUUGUGGCAUUUGUGGGGAGGAAAUGAAAUGACUUAAGUAAAGCACAUCGGCAUUAGCUCGAAACUUGAUAUUUGGUUGAUAGAUUCCAAAUGGAACCGAGAGUGGUUUACACCUGUCCCAUGGUCCAUAUCAGCAGCACUUGGCUUCCUAUAGGCAUUAUUGUUCACCCAGUGGAGAGGGCUGCCACUGGUGAGAUAUGUGAUCUUGGAAAGAACAGCUUCUACAAUCCUGUAUUUCCUCAUCUGCACGUCCAAAGGAAGCACUUGGUCCUGGGCCUGGUACAUGAAGUGCUCAACAAAUGUGGGUGUUUCUGCUACUGCUGCAUGGAGAAUAAGGUCAGACACAAAUUGUGGCAAAGCUGCAGGAUUUCACCUCAUUCUGAGAUUUCACAUCAGGGAAGUCCAACACCAGACUUCUGGUCACCGUGACACGGGUGUGUGUGUGUGUGUGUGCGCGCGCGCCUGGACAGCUUCUGAGACAAAACAAAAUAGAGGGCUGGGGAUUUACCUCAGUGGUUCUGCCACCUGCCUUGAAAGCACAAGGACCCAAGUUCAAUCCCCAGUACCAAAAAAACCCCCCACAAAACCAAAACAAAACAAAAGAGAACUGGAGAAAGCAGAGCCACAGUCAGGCAGUGAUUUGCAUUCGGGGCUGGGGUGGGGCAGAGUACAACGCUGCCUUUGACCUAGUCUUCCCUCCUUCACAGGCGCAUCUGUUUUGCCUUAAGCCUGGAGUCCCUUCGGGGAUGUUUGUAAAGGAAGCUGAUCUUUCCCUCAGGUCUCCUCCAGCGCUGCCAUGUGGCUUGGCAAAAGCCAGGGCCAUCCAGGGCUUUUGCAUAGGCUGUGUGCCCCUGGGAGCACUCAUUUACUGAGCAUGUGCACGGUCUGCCCAUGACUGUCAGGAGGGAACAAUUUUCUGUCACUUCAAAUCUACAACAAAUUUGGACUACUGCCCUGGGAUGAAAAGCCAUCUGUCUCUGCAGUUUGAAGAGCAGCGUCCAGCGAGCUGCCUGGGUAUGUUCCAUGUUGCAGCGCGCCCUUCUCCUGAGGGCAACACACUUUCAGGGUGUCUAUUGGCUGUUUGGGACAGUGUGCUUUUUAUAGAAUUUGAUUCACCAUUCUGGGAAGAUGUAGCUAACGUAUUCAGAGACUGUGGCUGUUGGUAUCUCAGGACCUGUGUGAACAGAGCACUCCAUCCAUCAAUCCAGGGCAUUGGCACUUGGGAUUCAUCACUUAGAACUAAAUAAUUUUAAUACACUUAAUGGAGGAGGCAGUGUGGUAUAAGAAGAGUAUGGGCAUUAUUUUAAAUUUUUAUUUGUCUGUGCUUGCCGUACAAAUCAUCAUAUUCUCCGAGGGGAGCUGGCGCAUGCUCAUGGCACAGCUUCAUUCUUUUUGUGUCCCCUUGUCUCCCCACUCCUCUUCCCAUCUGCAAAAGAGGAUGAACAAUGAAGUCAGAAGAGUGAGUUCCAGCCCCGUGUUCUCCAGGGUGUGACUUCAGAUCACUUCCACCCGGUUCUCUGUUAAGUAGUCCCAGAUUCAGGCUGGAGGCCCUGGCUCUGUCUGGGAAAGGGCAGAUGUUCUGAACACUGUCACCGUCCUCUGUCCCUGGGAGCCCUGAUGGACAGAGGCAGGAAUUAUGUCUGUGCAGACUGCACCUGAAGUAGGUACGUAGGUUUGUUCAGCACAGAAGGGGCUAUUUUCAUAGUUUUCCUGUGAUGAUAUACCUUUUUCCUUCAGGGCCCAUGCUCUAGUUCUUUGAGUAUGUACUUUUAAAAUUCUGCCCAAUAAACUCCAAAACAUCACAAAUCCAACUGAGAAUGGAAGAUACCACCUUUCCAGGGCUUUCCAAUGACCCAUGAUGUUUUGUAUUGAAAAAGUAAAAACUAGGCCAGGGAUUUAGCUCAGUGGCACCAUGCCUGCCUCUCAAGCCCAAGGUUCUGAGUUCGAUCCCCUGUACUUGGAAAAAAAAAAAAAAGUAAAAGCUAAAAAAAACCCGCAAAAGAAAUUAAUAACUGGUGACACCAAACAAACCAGACUUGAUUCAUAACUCAAGUAGAAGGACAGAUGGGUAGAUAGCUUCAGGGUGGGCUCAGCCCUCCCGAGGAGCUACUGAUUGAUUUGUUUUUGUCUUUAUUUUGAGACAAGGUCUCACUAUAUAGCUCAGCGUGGCCUUGAAUCUUGUGAUCCUUCUGCCCUGGCCUCCGGAGGGCUGGGAUUACAGGUGUGCACCGUCACAUCCAGCUCCUGAGGAACUUUUAUGGAGAACUGAGAAGGGGAAGUUGGAGAUUUCUGGACAGACGGGCAGAAAUACCACUGACCCCCGAGCCCUGGCUGGUUUGCUGCUCCACAUCGCCUCCAGCUUCCCUUCUCCUUUAGGUGAAAGUGUUUUCCUAAACUGGCCUCCCGUCUCUCUGCAUUAAAAUAAAAAACGUUCUGGA